rnacentral:rRNA from 1 species
CCGGCGCACGGGUGAGUAACGCGUAUGCAACCUACCUUAUACAGGGGAAUAGCCCGAAGAAAUUCGGAUUAAUGCUCCAUGGUUUAUCGAUAUGGCAUCGUAUUGAUAAUAAAGAUUUAUCGGUAUAAGAUGGGCAUGCGUAUCAUUAGCUAGUUGGUGUGGUAACGGCAUACCAAGGCAACGAUGAUUAGGGGUCCUGAGAGGGAGAUCCCCCACACUGGUACUGAGACACGGACCAGACUCCUACGGGAGGCAGCAGUGAGGAAUAUUGGUCAAUGGAGGCAACUCUGAACCAGCCAUGCCGCGUGCAGGAUGACGGUCCUAUGGAUUGUAAACUGCUUUUGUACAGGAAGAAACCUCCCUACGAGUAGGGACUUGACGGUACUGUAAGAAUAAGGAUCGGCUAACUCCGUGCCAGCAGCCGCGGUAAUACGGAGGAUCCGAGCGUUAUCCGGAAUUAUUGGGUUUAAAGGGUUCGUAGGCGGCCUUAUAAGUCAGUGGUGAAAUUUCCUAGCUUAACUAAGACACUGCCAUUGAUACUGUUUAACUUGAAUAGUAUGGAAGUAACUAGAAUAUGUAGUGUAGCGGUGAAAUGCUUAGAUAUUACAUGGAAUACCAAUUGCGAAGGCAGGUUACUACGUAUUUAUUGACGCUGAUGAACGAAAGCGUGGGGAGCGAACAGGAUUAGAUACCCUGGUAGUCCACGCCGUAAACGAUGGAUACUAGCUGUUCGGAUUUCGGUCUGAGUGGCUAAGCGAAAGUGAUAAGUAUCCCACCUGGGGAGUACGUUCGCAAGAAUGAAACUCAAAGGAAUUGACGGGGGCCCGCACAAGCGGUGGAGCAUGUGGUUUAAUUCGAUGAUACGCGAGGAACCUUACCAGGGCUUAAAUGUAGAUUGACAGAUUUGGAAACAGAUUUUUCUUCGGACAAUUUACAAGGUGCUGCAUGGUUGUCGUCAGCUCGUGCCGUGAGGUGUCAGGUUAAGUCCUAUAACGAGCGCAACCCCUAUUGUUAGUUACCAGCGCGUAGUGGCGGGGACUCUAGCAAGACUGCCGGUGCAAACCGUGAGGAAGGUGGGGAUGACGUCAAAUCAUCACGGCCCUUACGUCCUGGGCUACACACGUGCUACAAUGGCAAGUACAGAAAGCAGCUACCUGGCAACAGGAUGCGAAUCUCCAAAGCUUGUCUCAGUUCGGAUUGGAGUCUGCAACUCGACUCUAUGAAGCUGGAAUCGCUAGUAAUCGGAUAUCAGCCAUGAUCCGGUGAAUACGUUCCCGGGCCUUGUACACACCGCCCGUCAAGCCA